UACGUAGGGUGCGAGCGUUGUCCGGAAUUACUGGGCGUAAAGAGCUCGUAGGUGGUUUGUCGCGUUGUUCGUGAAAACUCACAGCUCAACUGUGGGCGUGCGGGCGAUACGGGCAGACUAGAGUGCGGUAGGGGAGACUGGAAUUCCUGGUGUAGCGGUGAAAUGCGCAGAUAUCAGGAGGAACACCGGUGGCGAAGGCGGGUCUCUGGGCCGUAACUGACGCUGAGGAGCGAAAGCAUGGGGAGCGAACAGG
rnacentral:rRNA from 1 species